UGUUACCAGAAAGGCAUUUGCCUCAGGCCUCACCAAAAAAUAGAUACUUUAGGGGCCCCAAGUUCUUGUUUAAGGUAUUGGUAAUAUAAGUUUAGCAUGAUGUUAUUUUCGCUUGAAUUCAUGUUAGGAUUUUAAUCACAAUUCACAAUAGAUAUAGGACCUUAAAUAAUGAACACAUGUCAAAUCUUGUGUAUGGAAAGCGAC
rnacentral:lncRNA from 1 species